rnacentral:rRNA from 1 species
CCGUGACUCUGCGAGAAGUCCAUUGAACCUUAUCAUUUAGAGGAAGGAGAAGUCGUAACAAGGUUUCCGUAGGUGAACCUGCGGAAGGAUCAUUGUCGAGACCGAAAUAUAUCGAGCGAUUCGGACAACACGUGAACGAGCGGAGGCACAUGCCGACGCGGUAUUCCGUCUCCUUCACCGGCCUCAUAAAUGAGGCCAUGUUGAGAGGCGGAAAAAAACUCAAACCGGCGCAGCUACGCGCCAAGGGAAUACAAAUAGACACGAUCCCUCAUAGGGUUCGGUGGAGUGGAGUGCAGUUGCACACCACACGUAUUGAAACGACUCUCGGCAAUGGAUAUCUCGGCUCUCGCAUCGAUGAAGAGCGCAGCGAAAUGCGAUACGUGGUGCGAAUUGCAGAAUCCCGCGAACCAUCGAGAAUUUGAACGCAAGUUGCGCCCGAGGCCAUCCGGCCAAGGGCACGUCCGCCUGGGCGUCAAGCGUUUUGUCACUCCGUGCCAUCUCCAUCCCGCCCAACUGGCGAGUACGGGGAUGGUUGGAUGUGGAGAGUGGCUCGUCGUGCCUUUGGGCGUGGCGGGUUUAAGAGCGGGUGAUCGUCUCGUUGUCCACGAGCAACAGGGGGUGGAUGAUAAAUGUGCCUGUGUUGUAUCGUGCCGACGUGAGAAGAGAUUACACCAAGCGAAUGAUCCCAGUCCAAGCGCCGUCCACGGACGUCGGCUUGGAAUGCGACCCCAGGAUGGGCGAGGCCACCCGCUGAGUUUAAG